UACGUAGGGUGCAAGCGUUAUUCGGAAUUACUGGGCGUAAAGCGUGCGCAGGCGGUCUGUUAAGACCGAUGUGAAAUCCCCGGGCUUAACCUGGGAACUGCAUUGGUGACUGGCAGGCUUUGAGUGUGGCAGAGGGAGGUAGAAUUCCACGUGUAGCAGUGAAAUGCGUAGAGAUGUGGAGGAACACCGAUGGCGAAGGCAGCCUCCUGGGCCAACACUGACGCUCAUGCACGAAAGCGUGGGGAGCAAACAGG
rnacentral:rRNA from 1 species